UCGUUGGUUACUCAUACGCUUAUGUACAGCAUCCUAUGUACCCCAUACACUUGAGUAGUAUCAUCAUGAUAUGUAGCCGGAUUGAACGCACCGGCGGCUAACUCAAACUACCAUUUCUGACAACAUUUAAAGGAAAUACCACAUCUUCACACAGUUACACCUUGUGGAUAUUUUGCACAUUGACUUCAAAUCACGGACCUCCCAACUGGGCAUUUGGAGAUACAUUUUCUCGCAGAAAAGGUGAUUUGAACACCUUGUUUAAUCGACGGGUGCUUUGAAGCGCCACUGAGGGGUUAUCCACGCCAGCGCUGUUGGCGGGCUGGUAGUCAAUAUACCGCAUCUUUACAACGUAGCUACCAGUAACUCGCGCAGACGACAGCAACAUCGAUAUCGCGCUUGGUAGAAUUUCUGAAAAUUCACCUGUGAACAACUUGAAAGUGAUUGCACGCAUGACUUGGAGUUUUUAUACCUGAGCACUUUGACCCUGGAGCUUCCAUCACGCAUCACUUUGCCGACUUUUGAGGAAAACUAUGUCUCAUCUUUCCAGGACUAAAUUUUUCUGGCCAAGUCCGAUGGCUUUGCCCAAGGCAAAAUCAGGAAUCAUAUUUUUUGUGAACGCUGUUCUUCUUCUGUGGAGCGUCACACUGGCGAAAACACUGCAGCCGAUUGCUUGGGACAAAAACAACUCAAAGUAAGUGACUUUCAAAAUUGAUUUUAUAGUAUAAAAUAGAAGAGAACUUGAGGGAAAGAGAACAAGAGAUGUAAGUUAACAACCGCAUUCUCAUGUAGAGACAAAAGUGGUUCUAAAAUAUGGGAUUAAAGAAAAUGAAAGGCAAGCAAAAAAGAAAAGAAAAA